rnacentral:pre_miRNA from 16 species
UGUCGAAGUUAUGCGAAACAGACAGCAUUUAUACAAUCGUUAUGUAUUGUUACCACCCUCUCAAGUUAUUUGGGAGUGUUGUAUCGAUAAACAUGACUAGUUUGAGAUGCGACAA